rnacentral:rRNA from 1 species
CAGUGAAAACGAGUAGGGCGGGACACGUGAUAUCCUGUCUGAAUAUGGGGGGACCAUCCUCCAAGGCUAAAUACUACUGACUGACCGAUAGUGAACCAGUACCGUGAGGGAAAGGCGAAAAGAACCCCUGUGAGGGGAGUGAAAUAGAACCUGAAACCGUGUACGUACAAGCAGUAGGAGCACCUUCGUGGUGUGACUGCGUACCUUUUGUAUAAUGGGUCAGCGACUUAAUUUUAGUAGCAAGGUUAACCGUUUAGGGGAGCCGUAGGGAAACCGAGUCUUAACUGGGCGUACAGUUGCUAGGAUUAGACCCGAAACCAGGUGAUCUAGCCAUGGGCAGGUUGAAGGUUGAGUAACAUCAACUGGAGGACCGAACCGACUAAUGUUGAAAAAUUAGCGGAUGACUUGUGGCUAGGGGUGAAAGGCCAAUCAAACCUGGAGAUAGCUGGUUCUCCCCGAAAGCUAUUUAGGUAGCGCCUCGGACGAAUACUACUGGGGGUAGAGCACUGUUAAGGCUAGGGGGUCAUCCCGACUUACCAACCCUUUGCAAACUCCGAAUACCAGUAAGUACUAUCCGGGAGACACACGGCGGGUGCUAACGUCCGUCGUGGAGAGGGAAACAACCCAGACCGCCAGCUAAGGUCCCAAAGUAUAGCUAAGUGGGAAACGAUGUGGGAAGGCUCAGACAGCCAGGAUGUUGGCUUAGAAGCAGCCAUCAUUUAAAGAAAGCGUAAUAGCUCACUGGUCGAGUCGGCCUGCGCGGAAGAUGUAACGGGGCUAAGCUAUACACCGAAGCUGCGGCUACGUACCUUAGGGUAUGUGGGGUAGGGGAGCGUUCUGUAAGCCGUUGAAGGUGGUCUGUAAGGGCUGCUGGAGGUAUCAGAAGUGCGAAUGCUGACAUGAGUAACGAUAAAGGGAGUGAAAAACUCCCUCGCCGGAAGACCAAGGGUUCCUGUCCAACGUUAAUCGGGGCAGGGUAAGUCGACUCCUAAGGCGAGGCCGAAAGGCGUAGUCGAUGGGAAAC